rnacentral:rRNA from 1 species
GAUGAACGCUAGCUACAGGCUUAACACAUGCAAGUCGAGGGGUAACGAGAGGAAAGCUUGCUUUCCUUGUCGACGACCGGCGCACGGGUGAGUAACGCGUAUCCAACCUGCCCCCAACUAGGGAAUAACCUUGCGAAAGUAAGACUAAUACCCUAUAAUUUCCUCAGAUGCCAUCUGACGAGGAAUAAAGAUUUAUCGGUUGUGGAUGGGGAUGCGCCUGAUUAGCUUGUUGGCGGGGUAACGGCCCACCAAGGCAACGAUCAGUAGGGGUUCAGAGAGGAAGGACCGCCACAGUGGAACUGAGACACGGUCCAAACUCCUACGGGAGGCAGCAGUGAGGAAUAUUGGUCAAUGGGCGGAAGCCUGAACCAGCCAAGUAGCGUGCAGGAUGACGGCCCUAUGGGUUGUAAACUGCUUUUAUACAGGAAUAAAGUUAGCCACGUGUGGUUAUUUGUAGGUACUGUAUGAAUAAGGACCGGCUAAUUCCGUGCCAGCCGCCGCAGUAA